AAAUCACUUCAAAUAUUGAUAUUACUAUUAAGUACGAGGAGCAGGGAGAUAUUUACAACUUUGUCACUGAAACCAACAUGAGUCAGUGGAUAAAGGAAGACUGAAGUGGCCAAGAGGGAAAAGCAUUUACGGAAAGGGAAUAAAAUGAGCGGCAGAAAGAAGAGCUACGCCGCAACGACGGAGAACGAUGCUGUGGAUCAGCUGUUGCAAGCGGCGCAGGAUGAGAUGCUCUUAGAACUCUCUGUCGACAGUCACAUGUCACGUGUGGCACCUGAUUAUCUCAACCCUGAUCUCCGCCGUCGAUUCCAGGCUCUCCGAUCCCGACCUUCCUCUUCCCAUUCACAACAGAAGAAACAAUCAUCGGCACCACCACCAUCGCCGCCGAAACCACAGCCGGAGCAAAAAGAAGACGAAGAGAAAAAGGAUCGAAAAUCGAAGGUUGUCGUUCCCGACAAUGUCGACGAGGAACUGAAGGCUGUGUUGGGCGAUGAUCUCUCCGCACGAUUCGCUGCUCUCAAGGCUUCCUUGUCUUCAUCUUCUUCUAAUCCUACUGCUGCUACUAGUAUUUCCACUAACGAAGUUCGUAUCGGUCUCGAAAAAUCCGACGGCGAAGAUGAUGAGGAAGAUGAAGUUGAAAGAGUGGUCCAAUGGGCCAAGGAUGCUGCUCGCCUUGACCCUUCUCCUGCCUCUGAUGAAGAUGAUGAUGACCUAAUCGGUUCUGAUUCCGAUGAUAAAGAUACUGACUAUGAUGAUGAUCCUAAACAUAAAAAAAAGGAAUCAAAACUUAGGAAAUGAGGGUCUCCUUAAAGAGCAGCCUUGCAGCAAUAAUCCAUUGCCAAGCCUGAAACUUUUAAUCCUAUUUUUAUCGAACAUGUUCAUGUUCAGAUUGGAUGCAGUGAAUACUUUCAGCAGAGUUGUUCAUUAUCAACCUGAUUAUAGCAAUAAAUCUUCAUAUAAUGGACGGUUGUUUAUGCUUUCAAGAAGCAGGGGAUGACGCUAAACUUCUGGCAUUUUAAGCUCAUGUCUGUCAAGUUUGAUCUUGCCUUUUUGGUGUUUGAUUAAGUUUCUUGAGAAUUAUAAUUUGUUAAUAUGUGAUGUUGAGAAUUAUAUAUACUUAAAAGGAAAAAAAAAAAAAAAAGAGUUGAAUCUGAUUGUUUUGUCCUUUGGUUCCUCUCAAAUCUGAAUGAACCUCUGGUUAUUUCACCUUUUAUACGGUGCCAUCAAAAGUUAUACCUGUUUAACUAUUUGCUCUUGUGAUGACUGAAAACUGGCGCAAACCAAUUUUUAGUCUAAAAUAAGUGAUGUUUAUGGGUAGGGUUGGGUUUAAUUUAUGCAUGUUUUUUCAAGCUUUGUGAUGGACAGGUAACAAGCUAAUAUCAGCUAUGCAAAUGCUCAAGUUCAGGGCGGGUCACAUUGAUAAUGAUUUACUCAUUGCUUAUUAAUUUGCCAUUGACUUUGGUUGUGCACAAAAGUGAAAUCUAAACAGUCCUCAACAUUUUAGCUUGGAAAAAUGUCCAAUAUUUUGGUGUCAACAAGAAAUGCUUCACCGGUUAUGAAUUCUUCACUUUGCUGAAUAAGUUUGGUGAAAUCUUGAAGGUUAAAAUGUGCUGAUAAUCCCUGGACAUGUAUACAAUUUGAGAUUUGGUUCCUGUAUUUUGAAAGUUAAAAAUUCAAUCUCGAUUGACAUCCGUAUUAUUACCAAUACAAGAGAUGUGGGUUCAAGUUAGGUGUUAAGAAUGAAUUAUGUCUACUUCUAGACAUUGUAUAAAAAAUAAUAAUCUUUUUACUUUUUUCAAUUUAAAAA